GGAAAGGGACUGGACGGGGGAAGGUCCUUGCCGUCCAGAGUGAAAGGGACCACAGGCUCCCACGGACCGGCUCCCUUCUCCUCCCCAUCACGUAACCCUGCGAGCAAGAUGUUCUCCGGUACAGGGGUGGGCGUCUGUUCAUGACGUGGUCCUGGGGGUGUUUCUGGUGUUGCUGAGGAACUCAGAGAGACAGAGGGAAUUUUCAAGCUAUGCUUUUAGGAAAAUAUAAACGUCAACUGAUUUGGUUUCUGACUCUCAGCCCUCGACAAGUGUCAUCACCUGUUUUGUUACCUUCAACCACAACUACGUCUUGAUUAUAAGAGGCUCCCUGUGACAUUUGAAGUUCUUGCUUGCGUGGCAGAUGCUCAACACAUUGAAAACACUUCUUUGCUCCCGUUUACCUACCUCACAGGUAAGAAUUAGUUUGAGUAAGACACGUGGAAGUUUGCAAAGCACUCCAGAUAUCACCCGCCUUUCUAAUGUUUUCCGCUACAUUAAGAAUACAGGCAGCUGGUCUGGUGGAAAGUGUAUGGACUUAAGAGCAGGAGAAGUCCAGAUUCAUGACUGGGCUUCACCGCUGACCAGCCAUGUGGAUAUUGGGGGGUCCCAUCUCCCUGGGUCUCAGUUUCCUCAGCUGUAAAAUGAAGCAAUGGACUACAUAACGUUCCUUGAAAUUCAAAACAAUCCAUAAGGUGGGGCACCUGGGGGGCAUAGUCGGUUAAGCAUCCGACCCUUGGUUUCAGCUCAGGUCAUAAUCUCCCAGAUCGUGAGUUCAAGCCCCCACCUUGGGCUCUGGCUGAUGGUAUGGGGCUUGCUUGGGAUUCUGUCUCUCCUUCUCUCUGCCUCUCCCCUGCUGUGUUCUCUGUCUCUCUGUCUCUCUCUCUCUCUCAAAGUUUAAAAAAAAAAAAAAAUUAAAAAUCCAUAAGGUAUCAGAUAACCUUACUUUUUUUUUUACUCCAGAUAAUUAUAUCGAUAUCGAUCAGAUAAUUGAUUUGUAUGCAUUGAGAUUGACUUAAAGUUACAUGUCAACUGACUUGAGUUUUUGCAGCAGAGGAAGUCAUAAGUAAGACAUUUCCAUUUCCAGUGACAGCUACCUGGUAUUUUAAAUUCUUCCAUUUCCUUAUUCACCCUAAUGUUUUCACUAAAACACAUGUGGUUUUCAAACACAGGAAAGAAAACAUGGUAACCUGUGGUUAUAAUUUCCACUAGAAAUUAGAAAAAAAGUAUAGCUCAGAAAGAGUGUUUGCGGGGAGUUCCUUUAAACAUGAAAGCCUCUGCUAGAAGCGUUUUUUUUUUCUUUUUUUUUCUUGAGAAGAACGCUGUUAAUUGUUGCACGUUUCAAAAGUUGUUGAAAAUAGGGCUCAACUGCCUCAGUGCUAUGGCUCCAGGGGACCCGUGGCCACACGGCCGUGAGGGCUUCAGGACCUCCGGUUUGCAAUCCUCCAGUGUAUUUGUAAGCAGCUACUUGUUUCUUCUUUCAGUCGAAGUUCUGGAAAACUUGGAGAGAAUGUCUUCCCGGGAAACCUUACCCCCUUCCCACACAGCUCCGCGUGUCCUCAGCAGACCCCAUCUGGAAGCAAAUUGGUCCACUGGUGGUCGCUUUUCUGCCCGCAUUUGACCUUCAUGGUUAUUCUCACGACUGGCUCUGU
rnacentral:lncRNA from 1 species